CGCAACUUCAUUUUCUUCAGACAUAUAAAUUCAUUCCCUCUCCUUAAUUUUUGUCUCUCCUUCAGUUUCUUAGGUGAAACAUGUAGAAUUAUCACCUGAAUCUCCAAUUCCUCUUGCUCCUGCUGUGGAUCAUCAAUUCGGUGCCUUGGAAUAUGAAAAUGUGUUCUGAUAUCAGCUUUUUGAAGUAAGCUUCUUCUAGACCUCUGACUGUUCAGCUCUUCUUCUCCCUUACUGAUUGCUCCUUUAUCUUCUCUUUGUUAUUUCAGCUGAGAUCUCUGGUGGAUGGAUUUUAUCAUUGACUUUGGUGUUGAUUUGAGGGUCAAAGGUUCCUGGAGCUGAUUGCAUGUCCAGGUAUACUUCGAUCUUCUUCUCUGCACCUUGUGCUUGUUCUUUACUCUAACUUUGCGAUUUAAGAUCUGUUUGAUCAUAGAUAUUGCAGAUUUUGGAAAAAAGUUUUGAUAGAACCUAUUUGACGAUAAAAAUUAUUAAAUUUGACAAAAAAAUAAGACCUCACAAUCUAAAGCAGAUAUAUCAUUCAUUAUAAAAGUGGUGCAUAUACAUUUUCGUCGAUUAACAACUGAUGCAUAUUUAUCAUUUUUAUUAACUUGCUAUAGCAACAACAGACUCAGUGUAUCCUCACCAAGUGAGGUCUGGGGAAGUAAAAUGUACGCAGUCCAUAUCACUACCUCUGAAAAGGUAGAGAGGGCUAUUUUCGAAUGACCUCGGCUCAAAAAUGAGAAUAGUAUACCAAGACCGUAAUGAAACAUGAGACAUGAUGGAUAACAUAAAUAGAAAUAAAAGAUAAAAUAUAAUAGCAAUAAAUAUCAUAGAAUUGCAAAAUAAGAGAAAAUACGAGCAACACGAAAUAAGUAUAAGAAAACAGAUACUUUUAUUAACUUGCCUAAAUUUAGUAAAUUUGAAAAUAAUAUAAAAUUAAUUUUUUAUCAAAAAAAUGUAAUGUGACUUUAAAUAAUUAUCUCACAAAUUUUUCUUACUCUUCCAGAUCCGACCAAUGUUGACACCUAAUUUUUGCCCUCCCGAUCGGAUUCAUCCUUGAGAUUCUUUGAUUUUAAAUAAAAUUACCACAUUUAUUUUUAUCUGAAUAAGAUAUUUUUAAAAAAUUUAUCUAGGUAAUUUUGUCAUCUUAAAGUAACAAUUAUAUAUUUUCGUAUUCAUAUAUAAGAAAUCGUACAAUUUUAUUAAUUAAAUAAUUAUUUUUACAAAAAAAAUAAAAGAUUUUAAUCAAGGGUUAUAUUGGA
rnacentral:lncRNA from 1 species